rnacentral:rRNA from 1 species
UACGGGGGGGGGUAAGCGUUGUUCGGAAUUACUGGGCGUAAAGGGCUCGUAGGCGGCCAACUAAGUCGGACGUGAAAUCCCUCAGCUUAACUGGGGAACUGCGUCUGAUACUGGAUGGCUUGAAUCCGGGGAGAGGGAUGCAGAAUUCCAGGUGUAGCGGUAGAAAUGCGUAGAUAUCUGGAGGAAUACCGGUGGCGAAGGCGGCAUCCUGGACCGGCAUUGACGCUGAGGAGCGAAAGCUAGGGGAGCAAACGGG